CUUUUGUUCCUUAGAGACUUCAUGCUCAAAGCCACUGGUAGGCAAGCCUGCAACCUUUAGCCAAAAAAACAUAACGGCUAAUGCUGGCUGUAUGCAGGGAGGAGUUUUGAACGGCGACAAGAUAGGCUGAGAGGUGCUGCACGUGAUUAAGUUAACCGUUACGCUUUCUCCAAUGAGAUCAUCCUCAACUCCAGCAGUGCAUAAAGAAACUACAAGAGAUCAUCAAAACAUUUGAAGAAGAUUUCAGAGCUUCUACUGAAGGAUCUAGAGAUGCAGGAGUGACGGGGAUCGCUGGAGGAGCUGCUGUGGUUACAGGAUUAGGAAUAGCAGGAAUAGCUUUAGCUCCGUUGACUCUGGGAGCUUCUGUUGUUGGUGUUGUUGGUGUUGCUGCUGGAGCUGCUGUCGGAGGAAAGGGAGCAAUGAUGCUCAGAGAUGCCGGAAAUAAAAGUAACAGAUGCAGCUCUGAGAAAAAGUACCAGAUGGACAGAUUAAGACAAGACACUGAAUCUAAACUGGAAGAAUUUCAGGAUAAAAUCAGCCCAAUUGCUGAAAAGAUGAAAGACCUUCAUGAGCGUACUGAGAAAAUAAUGACAGACUUUAAAAACGUAGAGCAAGAUGCCAGUGAUUUAGUUAAGAUGCGGAUAGAAGUGCUUCCUAAACUGACUAUGCAGAUGUCUGAAAUGAUGCGUUUGAUUACAUCAAUAGCACAAAUUUAUGGUGGGUUUAACCUUGUGCUGGACAUGAUCUCAGUUAUUGAAUAUAGCAGAGCGCUCGAUGACAUGGACAAACUAGCAGAAAAACCCAUACAUGAAGAACUAGAUGAAAGUGAGAUCAGGUCAAAAGCAGGGAAAUACAUUGCUGAAAUGAGGAAAUCAAUUAAUCAGUUACAGAACAUCAUCGAUGAACUUGAGAAAACAACACAAACUAUCAGAAAUUUAGGAGACAAUCUGACAAACAAAACAUUUUGAACCGCUGAGACAGAAGUGGAUCCUGACCGAGACAGCGGAUCUCGUUAUAUUGAAUGAUUUGAACAAUCCCAUUUGUCUACAAUUACUCAUGUUAACAUUGCCAAAUUUAAUAGGAUAUAGUUAUAGUAUAUCACUUAUAGGGGUUUUGCUAAAGUAAACUGACAUUUUAACAUACAGAAAUUCAAAUAAGAUUUCAUUGUUAUUGUUAUUUUUAUGUAUGUACAGGGGCGGACUUAGUGAUUUGAGGGCCCUAAGCGAUUCCAGCUCUGAUGGUGUGUUGUAGAGUCAAUGCAAGAAAAAUUAAAAGCAACAAACGCAAGCGUCGGUGCAAGAGCAAAGAGCAACCUCCCAGAAUGAUAUCUGUGUUUAAUCAUCUUGAAAAUGAAUUGAUCGCCCUCUAUCUGAGAGAUUUCCCUCAGAUCCAGCAGAGUAUGGAGAGAGUGUGUCUUCUCAUCCGCACAUUUGAAGAAGAUUUCAGACGUGCUUCUGAAGCCGUUACUAAUGCAGGGAAUGUGGAAGUAGCUGGAGGCUUCAUGAUGGGUUUGGGGUUAGUUUUAGCUCCAGUUCAUCUGGGCAUUUCUGCUCUUAUCACGGGAUCAGCAGUAGUUGUGCUUUCAGGAGCUGCAAUCAGUGAUAAACUCUGGAACAAGAAGAUCAGGAGCCAGCAGGAAAAAUUUAUACAAGACACUGAAGCUGAACUUUUAACAUUUCAGUAUAUAAUCACCCCUCUGACUGACAAGAUGAAAGACAUCAGUCAGCGAGUUGAUGAAAUAUUGAGAGACCUCAAUAACCCAGAGCAUGAUGUCGGGGAUUUGAGUAAAUAUUUUUCAUCUGCCGGUGAAUUAGUGCGCUUCAUACAGAUCUAUGACAUUAGUGUACUGGCUGCGCAGAUAAAGUCUCAGACGUCAUGUUUGUUCGGAGCUCAUUUGAUCAGACUUCUGCCAGUUAGGAUGGCGUUCGUUCAGAUGUGGAUAGAAAUGGUUCAGUUACAGAAUGUCAUGGAUAAAAUGACUGAAACAAUAGACAGAAUAGCAAACCAACCUGGUUAAUAUGAAGGAAAUAUUAAAUCUCAUUGAUUUGAAGUGCUCUGAACAUUCAAUUGUCAUAAAAACUUUAAUGUUUCCAUCAACAAAAGACAGAAUUAAAUAUAAUUUAGCUAUAGCUGAGAUAUAUAUAUAUAUAUAUAUAUAUAUAUAUAUAUAUAUAUAUAUAUAUAUAUAUAUAUAUAUAUCUUGAUAUGUAUUUUAUGAGAUAAAUUCACAUGUAAGAUUACAUACACUGCUUUUGCUCUGCAUUGUUGAUCAAAAGAAUUGUCAUUUUAUGCAUAACAAAUGUUUUAUAUUGUGUGCAUGUAUUUAUUGUGGUGAAAAAAUUGUUAUAUAGAUAAACUGAAGUUGUUUAAAAACUGAACUGGAACAGCUUUUGAAUGACAGAAAACAACAUUUUACACAAUAUAAGUAUGAAUAUGUUCAUUUAAAUGUUGUGCUGUUAUUCUCAACUGUCUUGUCUUGUAUGUCAACACUGUGUACAUUGAGGCCAUCUAGUGUUAUGAAAUGAUAAUUAAAAAGAAGCCUGACAUAUUACUGAAACACAUGCUGAAGAAUGAUCUGCAUUUUAAUAUCACUGCUGAUGUCAACAUUACAUUUAAAUAUAACUAAAGGAUCUUCA